ACGAGUUUAAGUUAUGCAAGUAGAUAUAUAGAGAUAACACAUGUAUGUUAAACAUGUUAGUAUUGUGUCCGGAGUUGGGUUCUUGGUCUCGCUGACUUCAAGCACCAAGCCGUGGACCCUCAUGUCACAAAGAGGAAGAACCAUGGACAUGUACAGCCGCUAUGAAAAAUAAUUUAGCAGAAAGAAGCACAGUGGACUGUGCAGGUCACUGUCUGAAAAGGAGAAAAAAGAAUAUAUGAGGUGAUGACAGUGGCAGUGGCAGUGAGGAG
rnacentral:lncRNA from 1 species